GACAGAGGGUGCGAGCGUUAAUCGGAAUUACUGGGCGUAAAGCGCACGUAGGCGGCUUGGUAUGUCGGGUGUGAAAUCCCCGGGCUCAACCUGGGAACUGCAUCCGAAACUGCCUUGCUAGAGUAUGGGAGAGGGAAGUGGAAUUUCCGGUGUAGCGGUGAAAUGCGUAGAUAUCGGAAGGAACAUCAGUGGCGAAGGCGACUUCCUGGACCAAUACUGACGCUCAGGUGCGAAAGCGUGGGGAGCAAACAGG
rnacentral:rRNA from 1 species